rnacentral:rRNA from 1 species
CGAAAGAUUGAUCUAGUUACUUAUUAGGAUGAUAUUUUAAAUAUAAAAAUAAAUAAUAAAAAUAAAUUGAUUAAAAAUAAAAUCCAUAAAUAAUAAAAAUAAUGAUAUAAAUUACUUUAUAUAAUUAAAGAAUAAAUAAAAUAUAUAUAUAUUUAUAUAUAUAUAUAUAAUAAUUAUUUUAAAUAGUCUUAACAAAUAAUUGUGCCAGCAGUCGCGGUUAUACAAUGAAGGCUAGCAUUAAUCAUAAUGGUUUAAAGGAUCCGUAGAAUUAAUAAAUAAUAUAUCUAUAUAUUAUAAAAUUAUUUAGAGUUAAUAAAUUUAAUUAAAGAAUUAUAAUAGUAAGGAUGAAAUAAUUAUAAUAAUUAUAAGACUGGUAUAUGUGAAAAUAUUAAUUAAAUAUUAACUGACAUUGAGGGAUGAAAACUAAAGUAGCAAAACAGAUUCGAUACCUGUGUAGUUUUAGUAGUAAACAAUGAAUACUAUAUUAUUAUUAAAUAAUAAUAAUAUAUAUGAAAAUAUAAGUAUUCCACCUGAAGAGUAUAUUAGCAAUNAUGAAACUCNAGACAAUAGACGGUUACAGACUUAAGUAGUGGGGUAC